rnacentral:rRNA from 1 species
GAUGAACGCUGGCGGCGUGCCUAAUACAUGCAAGUCGAGCGAACGGACGAGAAGCUUGCUUCUCUGAUGUUAGCGGAGGACGGGUGAGUAACACGUGGAUAACCUACCUAUAAGACUGGGAUAACUUCGGGAAACCGGAGCUAAUACCGGAUAAUAUUUUGCACCGCAUGGUUCAAAAGUGAAAGACGGUCUUGCUGUCACUUAUAGAUGGAUCCGCGCUGCAUUAGCUAGUUGGUAAGGUAACGGCUUACCAAGGCAACGAUGCAUAGCCGACCUGAGAGGGUGAUCGGCCACACUGGAACUGAGACACGGUCCAGACUCCUACGGGAGGCAGCAGUAGGGAAUCUUCCGCAAUGGGCGAAAGCCUGACGGAGCAACGCCGCGUGAGUUAUGAAGGUCUUCGGAUCGUAAAACUCUGUUAUUAGGGAAGAACAUAUGUGUAAGUAACUGUGCACAUCUUGACGGUACCUAAUCAGAAAGCCACGGCUAACUACGUG